GUAGGUGGCAAGCGUUGUCCGGGAAUUAUUGGGGCGUAAAGCGCGCGCAGGCGGUUCUUUAAGUCUGAUGUGAAAGCCCACGGGCUCAACCGUGGAGGGUCAUUGGAAACUGGAGAACUUGAGUACAGAAGAGGAAAGCGGAAUUCCACGUGUAGCGGUGAAAUGCGUAGAGAUGUGGAGGAACACCAGUGGCGAAGGCGGCUUUCUGGUCUGUAACUGACGCUGAGGCGCGAAGGCGUGGGGAGCAAACAGGAUUAGAUACCCUGGUAGUCCACGCCGUAAACGAUGAGUGCUAAGUGUUAGGGGGUUCCCGCCCCUUAGUGCUGCAGCUAACGCAUUAAGCACUCCGCCUGGGGAGUACGGCCGCAAAGGCUGA
rnacentral:rRNA from 1 species